rnacentral:rRNA from 1 species
CAAUAGCGUAUAUUAAAGUUGUUGCAGUUAAAAAGCUCGUAGUUGGAUUUCUGGUAGGAGCGACCGUGCCGAACUUGAUUGUUCGUGUAUUGUGUUGUCUUCAGCCAUCCUCGUGGAGAACUUUUCGGGCAUUAAUUUGUCGGGAUUGGGACCCGCGUCGUUUACUGUGAAAAAAUUAGAGUGUUUAAAGCAGGCAAUCGCUUGAAUACAUUAGCAUGGAAUAAUAAGAUAGGACUUUGGUACUAUUUUGUUGGUUUGCAUACCAAAUUAAUGAUCAACAGGAACAGUUUGAGGAUAUUCGUAUGAGCAUGUCAGAGGUGAAAUUCUUGGAUUUUGAUCAGACGAACUACUGCGAAAGCAUUUAUCAAGGAUGUUUUCAUUAA